GCAAAUGUUACCUUGCGAGUUUACACUGCAGCAUCAUCAAGUGCAACGUUUCAGUUCAUGGACAUCGAAGCAAGAGGAGGAAAAGAGUCACCACGCAGCUGCAUGACCAUUUCAACAAAGACGGAAUAAACAACCUCUGGAUUCAUGGAACUUCUCUGCACACAAAUAUAUUAAUUGGAAUAUUCAAUAAAUUUCACAUAGAAA